rnacentral:rRNA from 1 species
CACGCCGUAAACGGUGGGUACUAGGUGUGGGGGACAUUCCACGUUCUCCGUGCCGUAGCUAACGCAUUAAGUACCCCGCCUGGGGNUGCAACGCGAAGAACCUUACCUGGGUUUGACAUAUGCCGGAAAGGCCUAGAGAUAGGCCCCCCCUUGUGGUCGGUUUACAGGUGG